UUAAGCUACUUACGGCAUACGGUGGAUGCCUUGGCAAUUGAGAGCGAUGAAGGACGUAGCAGGCUGCGAUAAGCCUCGGGGAGCUGCCAAGCAAGCUUUGAUCCGAGGAUCUCCGAAUGGGGCAACCCGGUAGAGCAAACCUCUACCAUUCCUGUACCUGAUUCAGGUAUAGGAAGGCAAACCUGGUGAACUGAAACAUCUUAGUAACCAGAGGAAAAGAAAUCAAACGAGAUUCCGAAAGUAGCGGCGAGCGAAAUCGGAAAAGCCCAAACCUAAGGCUGUGCCAAAGAGGGUAUUCGUUGCAGCUUUAGGGGUUGUAAGAAAAAGGAGUCUCGCUAAAUACCCUUAGCGAGGGGGUUAGUUUGUUCUUAGCUGAAAACGCUGGAAAGCGUUGCCAUAGAAGGUGAUAGCCCUGUAAGCGAAAAGAACAAUUCUACCCUAUCCUUUUUUCUUGAGUAGCUCGAGGCACGUGGAACCUUGAGUGAAUCUGGGGGGACCAUCCUCCAAGGCUAAAUAUGCUCAAUUGACCGAUAGUGCACAAGUACCGUGAGGGAAAGGUGAAAAGAACCCCGGCGAGGGGAGUGAAAUAGAACCUGAAACCGUAUGCUAACAAUCAGCCAUGGGACUAUUGGGUAACCAAGUCUUUUGGCAUGCCUUUUGCAUAAUGAGCCAGCGAGUUAAUCUUCAAGGUUUGGAUAAGAGGUAUUAAGCCUCGCAUCCGUAGCGAAAGCGAGUCCGAAUAGGGCGAUUAAUCUUGGGGAUUAGACCCGAAGCCAGGUGAUCUAUCCAUGGCCAGGCUGAAGUGGGAGUAAAACCCCAUGGAGGGCCGAACCGGUGUAGGUUGAAAACUGCUCGGAUGAGCUGUGGAUAGGGGUGAAAGGCCAAUCAAACUUGGCGAUAGCUGGUUCUCCCCGAAAUAUAUUGAGGUAUAGCCUCUUGCUUAGGACGAUGGGGGUAGAGCACUUAUUGGGCUAGGGGGCUCACCCGCCUACCAAACCCAGUUAAACUCCGAAUACCAUCUGUACCGUGCAAGGGAGUCAGACUGCGGGCGACAAGGUCCGUUAGUCGAGAGGGAAACAGCCCAGACCGCCUGCUAAGGUCCCUAAACUAAUCUAAGUGGAAAAGGAUGUCAAAGCGCUAAAACAGCCAGGAGGUUGGCUUAGAAGCAGCCAUCCUUUAAAGAAAGCGUAAUAGCUCACUGGUCGAGUGCUUUGGCGCCGAAGAUUUAACGGGGCUCAAGAUUAGUACCGAAGCAGCGGAUCAGACACUUUUAGUGUCUGGUGGUAGGGGAUGCGUUCCUGUCAUGCGUUGAAGGUGUACCGUAAGGAGCACUGGAGCGACAGGAAGUGAGUAUGCUGGCACGAGUAGCGAAAAAACAGGUGAAAACCCUGUUCGCCUAAAGUCUAAGGUUUCCUAUCCAACGUCAAUCGGGGUAGGGUUAGUCGGUCCCUAAGGCGAGGCCGAAAGGCGUAGCUGAUGGAAAACAGGUUAAUAUUCCUGUACCAACUGUAGUUACCGAUGGGGGGACGCAUCGUGGUAGAAGGAGUGGGUGGAUGGUUUGCCCACCGAAGCGUGUAGCUAGAGCGUGUAGGCAAAUCCGCACGCUCGCUUAAUGCGAGGCGCGAUAGGCAGCGGAUCCCUUCGGGGUGAAGCUUGUGUCCUUUGAAGCCAUAAUGCCAAGAAAAGCCUCUAAGGGUUUAAAGCUACAGUUGACCGUACCGCAAACCGAC
rnacentral:rRNA from 1 species